rnacentral:misc_RNA from 1 species
GAAAUGCGAUAAGUAAUGUGAAUUGCAGAAUUCAGUGAAUCAUCGAAUCUUUGAACGCACCUUGCGCUCCUUGGUAUUCCUUGGAGCAUGCCUGUUUGAGUAUCAUGAAAUCUUCAAAGUAAAUCUUUUGUUAACUCAAUUGGUUUCUACUUUGGUAUUGGAGGUCUUUGCAGCUUCACACCUGCUCCUCUUUGUUCAUUAGCUGGAUCUCAGUGUUAUGCUUGGUUCCACUCGGCGUGAUAAGUUAUCUAUCGCUGAGGACACUGUAAAAGGUGGCCAAGGUAAAUGCAGAUGAACCGCAUCUAAUAGUCCAUUGACUUGGACAAUACUUUUAUGAUCUGAUCUCAAAUCAGGUAGGACUACCCGCUGAACUUAAGC